AACAUAUAAAUGCAGUACAAGUGAAAACAGUUUUAGGAGUAGUGGCCAUUUUCUGUCACAUGUUUCCGGGGGAGCUGUUUACUUGAUUGCUUGUAUUUGUCAAUCCUUUGGACAGGGUAUCCGAACUGGGCUAUUAUGGAAGCUCUAGGGGAAAAUUUCAAUAUCUUACAUUUGACAUUAUACCCAGUGUUGAAGUGCUAUUAUGACUACACUUUUUACUUUCAUAACAUUAACGGUACAUUCCUUAAAUAAAGGUACAGUUUAGGACAAGACAUGUCUGAGGUACACCUCAUCUUUUGAUGUAAUAACUUCAGUACUUACACUACUACUCUGCUAUACAAGGUACGUAUGGCAAGUUAAUACUUAGUGAUGCAGUAGUACAACUGCAGUACAUUAUGUAAUGUAGAACAACUGUCUUAGUAACAUGUUUAAACAAUAUGUAUGAUUUGGAGAUGAUAAACCAUUGCUGAAUCAAAUGCUGACAUUUUUGGUGCCUCAUCUCUUACUAGGUGAACCUGCAAAAAUGAGUUCUAAACAUACAAGUACAGAAGAACAGGUGUUUCUCAUGUCAGACUUGGGAAACGCUGAGUUACAAAUGAAAACUGAAGAGCUGGGAACUACAGACGUGUGAGAAAUCUGAAGUGGAAUCGUUUCACUCUGAAGAAGUGAGGAAAGCUAUCGGUGAAUUUGAGGAAAACACAAAAUCCAAUUUCAUUGUGGAACAGAACAAACACUUUUCAAAUGUAAGGAGAUGAACACACUAUCUUACAACAAAGACAGCUUAUUUAGCAUACACAAAAGAUGAAUUGUCCAGCAAAAACCCUUAUCGUGUUAUGUCUUUUCUGUAUUAUAAGAUAUGCUCAGCUCAAUGCCCAAGGAUAUGAGAAAUAUCGUGAAUACAGUGAGGAGAUAUCAGCAUUUUUGAAGAAUCACUCAUGAGACUUUGUUUUACAUGUAAUGCAGAGGUACUUUAGUACUCUGGACAAUACCCAUAUAACAUCUGUAAAUGAUCAAAGUGGAAUGUUCAAAAUAAAAAAGUGAGUCUCAUAAUGAAAAAACAUAUACGGUUGAUUUGUGCAGUGAGUCACCAUCAUGCAGUUGUGAAGAUUGGAGAAGAUUCCUCAUGCCAUACAAG